GAUCCUGGCUCAGGAUGAACGCUAGCUACAGGCUUAACACAUGCAAGUCGAGGGGCAGCAUCAUCAAAGCUUGCUUUGAUGGAUGGCGACCGGCGCACGGGUGAGUAACACGUAUCCAACCUGCCGACAACACUGGGAUAGCCUUUCGAAAGAAAGAUUAAUACCGGAUGGUAUAGUUUUCCCGCAUGGGUGACUAUUAAAGAAUUUACGGUUUGUCGAUGGGAGUGCGUUCCAUUAGGUCAGG
rnacentral:rRNA from 1 species